rnacentral:rRNA from 1 species
GACGAACCGUGCGAACGUUAUUCGGAAUCACUGGGCUUAAAGCGUGCGCAGGCGGUUCGUUGUGUCGGCGGUGAAAGCCCCGGGCUCAACCUGGGAAUGGCCGUUGAAACUGGCGAACUGGAGUGUGGCAGAGGGGGUGGAAUUCCGCGUGUAGCAGUGAAAUGCGUAGAGAUGCGGAGGAACACCGAUGGCGAAGGCAGCCCCUGGGCUGACACUGACGCUCAGGCACGAAGCGUGGGAGCAAACAGG